GUUCAACCCCAGGGUUGAAAUUCCAACCCUGCAUGCUAGCUGAAGCAGGGUUAAAAUUUCAACCCCGGGGUUGAAC